AUUGAACGCUGGCGGAAUGCUUUACACAUGCAAGUCGAACGGCAGCACGGGGCAACCUGGUGGCGAGUGGCGAACGGGUGAGUAAUACAUCGGAACGUGCCCAGUCGUGGGGGAUAACGUAGCGAAAGUUACGCUAAUACCGCAUACGAUCUAUGGAUGAAAGCGGGGGAUCGCAAGACCUCGCGCGAUUGGAGCGGCCGAUGUCAGAUUAGGUAGUUGGUGGGGUAAAGGCCUACCAAGCCGACGAUCUGUAGCUGGUCUGAGAGGACGACCAGCCACACUGGGACUGAGACACGGCCCAGACUCCUACGGGAGGCAGCAGUGGGGAAUUUUGGACAAUGGGCGCAAGCCUGAUCCAGCCAUUCCGCGUGCAGGAUGAAGGCCUUCGGGUUGUAAACUGCUUUUGUACGGAACGAAAAGGCUCUGGUUAAUACCCGGGGCUCAUGACGGUACCGUAAGAAUAAGCACCGGCUAACUACGUG
rnacentral:rRNA from 1 species